rnacentral:misc_RNA from 1 species
GAGUUAGGGUCUUCCAGGCCCGACCUCCCAACCCUUUGUUUACAGAACCUCUGUUGCUUCGGCGGACCCGUCUCACGACCGCCGGAGGACCGCCGCGAGGCGUCCUCUGGCCCCGCGUCCGUCGAUAGCCAAAUCUAAAACUCUGAAUGAAUCGUGUCAUAUGUCUAAGUCUAUGAUUAAAUAAAGCAAAACUUUCAACAACGGAUCUCUUGGUUCU